UUACUACUCCCUCCGUCCCAAAAUUCUUGUCUUAAAUUUGUCUAGAUACGGAUGUAUUUAAUACUAAAAUGUGACUUGAUACAUCCGUAUUUGGACAAAUUUAAGACAAGAAUUUUGGGACGGAGGGAGUAUUUU
rnacentral:pre_miRNA from 1 species